UGAGGAAUAUUGGUCAAUGGGCGAGAGCCUGAACCAGCCAAGUCGCGUGAGGGAAGACUGCCCUAUGGGUUGUAAACCUCUUUUGUAAGGGAAGAAUAAAGAUUACGUGUAAUCUGACGCCUGUACCUUACGAAUAAGCAUCGGCUAACUCCGUGCCAGCAGCCGCGGUAAUACGGAGGAUGCGAGCGUUAUCCGGAUUUAUUGGGUUUAAAGGGUGCGUAGGCGGCGUUAUAAGUUAGUGGUCAAAUUGCGGGGCUUCACCCCGUAUCGCCAUUAAUACUGUAGUGCUAGAGUACAGACGAGGUAGGCGGAAUAAGUUAAGUAGCGGUGAAAUGCAUAGAUAUAACUUAGAACUCCGAUAGCGAAGGCAGCUUACCAGACUGUAACUGACGCUGAUGCA
rnacentral:rRNA from 1 species